ACUCCUACGGGAGGCAGCAGUGGGGAAUAUUGCACAAUGGGGGAAACCCUGAUGCAGCGACGCCGCGUGAGUGAAGAAGUAUUUCGGUAUGUAAAGCUCUAUCAGCAGGGAAGAAAAUGACGGUACCUGACUAAGAAGCCCCGGCUAACUACGUGCCAGCAGCCGCGGUAAUACGUAGGGGGCAAGCGUUAUCCGGAUUUACUGGGUGUAAAGGGAGCGCAGACGGCAGCGCAAGUCUGGAGUGAAAGCCCGGGGCCCAACCCCGGAACUGCUCUGGAAACUGUGCGGCUAGAGUACUGGAGGGG
rnacentral:rRNA from 1 species